AUGCAUGACGAAAUGGGCCGAGAGUUGCUUCUGUGCGUCAACGAUGCCAAUGUUGCACUGAGUCAUCCAGUUGGUGGUGGAUUAUCUGAGAGAACUCUUAGGAGCACGAUGCAGAAGUUCAAGAAGCGGUUCCAUAAGAUGGCAGCAAUGCUUUCUUGCCAUGGUGCUCAGUCCAGUGAUGUGUACGCACCUGGUACCCGCGCCGCCAGAGCUCAUAGACGGCGUUUACUCCAGAACGAUGAUGACAUGGAGGAGGAGGCAGCACAUCAAGAGGAGCCAACACAUCAAGAGGAGCCAACACAUCAUGAGGAGCAAGAGUAUGAUGCAACACAGCAAGAGGAUCAUGAGUAUGAUGUUGAUGCUCCACAACCAUCACAACCGACACAAGGCAAUGCUCGCUCUAGGAAAGGCAAAGCCAUAGCUACGACAGCAGGCAAGAAAGGUAGAAAGAAGACGUGGAACACACAAUUCCAUAGUCCGGAGUAUCCUCAUAAGCUUAUCCCACCAGGAAUGCAAAGAUAUAAGGCCAACAUUGAGGCAGAGGAGGAGGCAUACAACGAGGAGGAGGAGGCUAGCGAAGAGGAGGAGCCUACACUUGCAACCAUUGUGAAGAGAGGAAGGAGGAAGUGA
rnacentral:rRNA from 1 species